CCCAGUGUGACUCGUCACACUAUCAUUAACUGAAUCCAUAGGUUAAUGAGGCGAACCGGGGGAACUGAAACAUCUAAGUACCCCGAGGAAAAGAAAUCAACCGAGAUUCCCCCAGUAGCGGCGAGCGAACGGGGAGGAGCCCAGAGCCUGAAUCAGCAUGUGUGUUAGUGGAAGCGUCUGGAAAGGCGCGCGAUACAGGGUGACAGCCCCGUACACAAAAGCGCAUGUGCUGUGAGCUCGAUGAGUAGGGCGGGACACGUGGUAUCCUGUCUGAAUAUGGGGGGACCAUCCUCCAAGGCUAAAUACUCCUGACUGACCGAUAGUGAACCAGUACCGUGAGGGAAAGGCGAAAAGAACCCCGGCGAGGGGAGUGAAAAAGAACCUGAAACCGUGUACGUACAAGCAGUGGGAGCCCCACCACCAAAGCAUUUGCUGUACCGCGUUGACGGAGCGAAGCGACGUCAAACCGAUAAAACAGCAGUGUAAAGUGAGCCGCAGGGCGCUUUGCGCGACAGCGCAAAGGCAGGCGGUUUCGCGUAGCGAAAGCGAAUGCUUUGGGGUGGGGUGACUGCGUA
rnacentral:rRNA from 1 species